rnacentral:rRNA from 1 species
CCUACCUCUAACUGGAAGAUAGCCCGAAGAAAUUCGGAUUAAUAUUCCAUAACACUAUAUUAUGGCAUCAUAGUAUAGUUAAAGUUUCGGCGGUUAGAGAUGGGCAUGCGUGACAUUAGCUAGUUGGUGAGGUAACAGCUCACCAAGGCUACGAUGUCUAGGGGGUCUGAGAGGAUGGUCCCCCACACUGGUACUGAGACACGGACCAGACUCCUACGGGAGGCAGCAGUGAGGAAUAUUGGUCAAUGGGCGAAAGCCUGAACCAGCCAUGCCGCGUGAAGGAUGACGGCCCUACGGGUUGUAAACUUCUUUUGUUCGAGAAGAAACCUCCCUACGUGUAGGGGGCUGACGGUAUCGAACGAAUAAGCAUCGGCUAACUCCGUGCCAGCAGCCGCGGUAAUACGGAGGAUGCAAGCGUUAUCCGGAUUCAUUGGGUUUACAGGGUACGCAGGCGGAAAAUUAAGUCAGUGGUGAAAUCCUGCAGCUUAACUGUAGAACUGUCAUUGAUACUGGUUUUCUUGGAUUCAGUUGAGGUAGGCGGAAUGUGUAAUGUAGCGGUGAAAUGCUUAGAUAUUACACAGAACACCGAUUGCGAAGGCAGCUUACUAAACUGUGAUUGACGCUGAGGUACGAAAGCGUGGGUAGCAAACAGGAUUAGAUACACUGGUAGUCCACGCCGUAAACUAUGAUCACUCGUUGUUGCCAACACACCGUCAGCGACUGAGCGAAAGCAUUAAGUGAUCCACCUGGGGAGUACGGCCGCAAGGUUGANACUCAAAGGAAUUGACGGGGGCCCGCACAAGCGGAGGAACAUGUGGUUUAAUUCGAUGAUACGCGAGGAACACUUACCUGGGCUUAAAUGUAGAGCGACGGACCGGGAAACUGGUCUUUCUUCGGACGAUCUACAAGGUGCUGCAUGGCUGUCGUCAGCUCGUGCCGUGAGGUGUCGGGUUAAGUCCCAUAACG